rnacentral:rRNA from 1 species
CCAGCAGCCGCGGUAAUUCCAGCUCCAAUAGUGUAUAUUAUUUUUGCUGUAGUUAAAAAGCUCGUAGUUGGAUUUCGGAAUGUGUCGGUCUAAGCUGGUCUAAAUGGCUACGCUCGACUUCGACGCUUCCUCUUUUUGGAUAGUGGGCCCUACUUCGGUGGGUGUUUCCCCGCUUCCAGACGUUUACUGUGAACAAAUUAGAGUGUUCAAAGCAGGUGUUACUUUGCCUUUGAAUAGUUUAGCAUGGGAUAAUGGAAUAGGACCUCGGUUUUAUUUUGUUGGUUUCUAAAGCUGAGGUAAUGAUUAAGAGGGACAGUUGGGGUCGCUCGUAUUGAGUUGUCAGAGGUGAAAUUCUAAGAUUGA